rnacentral:lncRNA from 1 species
GGCGGUUCCACCACCCAGGACACGGGCACGGUGGGUUAUAACUCCGUCAGUCGAGAUAACUAACUGGGAAGGUGAUCCAGGUGAUAUAUCAGAAAGAGAGUAGGCAAAACCAGCAACGUUGCUGAUUCUUGGAUCAUUGUAAGGCAAACCACCCCUUUCUAGUAGCAAAACAGUCGCGGCUUCAGACAGAGUCGCGGCUAGUGCACAGCCUGCGGUCCCUCNAAGAGUGUAGGCAAAACCAGCAACGUUGCUGAUUCUUGGAUCAUUGUAAGGCAAACCACCCCUUUCUAGUAGCAAAACAGUCGCGGCUUCAGACAGAGUCGCGGCUAGUGCACAGCCUGCGGUCCCUCCUCCGACGAUAAUGUAGUCGUAAUACGCCACUGGGGGAGCCGAUACCGAAUUCUUGGCAAAUGAAGCGAAUGGAGCUGGUAUGAUCAGUAUACACAAUUAGUUAUAACCAUAUCUUAUUGCAGAAAAUAAUUCCCAUCUUUGUCAAGUAUACUUCACAUUUUUACCAUUAAUCAUUGUUAUAAGGGAUAAUUAAUUUAUACGUCCUUGAACUUUGGCCCAUUUUUGAUUCGCGUCCUUGAACUAAGUUUGUCAAUUUAUGCAUCCUCAAACUUUGUAAAUUUCCAAUUCAGGUCCCUCCGUCAGUUUUUGACUAACAGAAGUUAGCAAUUAGGGUUAUGAAUUUGGGGGUUUUCGACUCGUUAAUGGAUUGUUGAAAUUGAUGGUAUGGGAAGUUUCGGGAGGUCAAACCGAAGAGAUUCAUGUAGGUUUCAAUGGCGGAGGAUGGCCGGAAUCAAUGGCCAUUUUCCGGCCGGCGGAGACAUUGCCACCAUUCCGGCAAUCCUCCAUCAUUGAAACCUACAUUAAUCUGUUCGGUUUGACCUCCCGAAACUUCCCAUACCAUCAAUUUCAUCAAUCCAUGAACGAAUCGAAAACCCUCAAAUUGAAAACCCUAAUUGACUAACUUCCGUUAGUCAAAAACUGACGGAAGGACCUGAAUUGGAAAUUUACAAAGUUUGAGGAUGCGUAAAUUGACAAACUUAGUUGAAGGACGCGAAUCAAAAAUGGGCCAAAGUUCAAGGACGUAUAAAUUAAUUAUCCCUUGUUAUAAAUUCAUUGAAUAUAAUAAUUUAUAUGAUUACCUGGUUCUGAAUAACAGGGAGAGGGAAGGAAGAAGAUAGUUGCAGCUAUAGCUGCAGGAACGAAUCGCCAACAGAUUAAAAUCAUAACUUGAAACACACCUAGAUUCAUGUAAAUAUCGUUUGAAUAAAACUAAAUUAAAUUAAACCAAAAAACAUUAUAGGAAAUUACUUGUGGUUGACUUGUAAGAAUCUCUAACUAUUGAUAGAUUCAUUUCACUCAAUGGACGUCCAAAGAAGUACCUCACAGGUAACCCGCAAGGCCAGGCUUAUUGAUUUGUGGAUGCAUUUUGUUCUUCAAAAUAUACACUCCAAUCAUUAUUUUCAUGGUUUCAAUAUUUUAAGACGUCAAGUGGUUGAACCUUUUUUUUUUCCCUUCUGAUAUAUAUGACAUA